rnacentral:lncRNA from 1 species
CUUCUCUUUACUCUUCCUUUCUUAAUGUGGAUCUGAAUUUCUGACCUGUAUUAUUUUCCUUUAUACUGUAAAUUUCUUUGUUUAGGUAUGUUUAAGUACACAGAUACUUACUGUUGUUAUAAUUGCCUAUAGUAUUUAGUGCAGUAACAUUUUACAGGUUUGGAGUCUAGGAGAAAUAGGCUAUAAUAUAUAUCCUGGUGUGUAGUAGGCAUACAUCUAGGUUUGUGUGAGUAUACCAUAUCAUACCUUUUAUCAAAUUCUAUUAAGUGUUUUGUGUUUUCUUUAUAUACUUGUAGCCAAGAUCUGAAUUCUACUUUCACUAAAAACAAAACUGCUCUCUCCCCAAGUCCUACAAGCUGCAUAUUUAUGACUUUAUUACACAUCAGAAAUUUCACAACAACACUAUGUGGACAACCUUCAUGUCUGCGGCUAUGUGUGGAUCACUCAAGAGGUGUAACUACAAUACCCAGUGAUAUGACAAUGGCAUUCAAUGUUCAAAGCAGAAAAAUCAAUCAUAUUGGAAAUACCAUCCUGAUUUCACCUUUUUAAGAUCCUCAGUUUCAAAACUAGAGAUAUUUUGACUAGCUGUUUUCCAAACUCAAGAACUAAGAUCAUACUCUGCUAAUUUUGUUUCCAUAGAAGAUACUUUAAAUACUUUUAAAAAAUACAAUAUCAAGUGAUUGAUUUAGUUUCAGUAUUGUACCAAAAUAGGGAAGUUCUUAACAUCCUAAUUGUUCAUGUAGGAGAUUAUGUUCUUACUGUUAAGAACUCUUAAAGAUAAGAUGCAAGUCACUUAUCAGAUACAUGAUACUGCUUCUAUGGACUUAUUUAAUUGGUUUAAUCUUGACUCCAGCUAAUAUCUGUUUUAAGAUAUUUUUCGUACUCAAUAUUUUAAAAAGGAGUAAAUUAGCCUUGGAAAAAAGGAAAAUCUUCCUACAUUAUACCAGUUGCAUAACAAAAUUUAAAAUAAUCACAAAAAACUUACAGUCACAACAAUGCCAUAAACUCACAGAAGCAGAGAAUGGAAUGGUGGUGGCCAGGGUGUUGAAGAAGAGGAAGACAGGGAGAUAUUAGUCAAAGGGCACAAAUUUUCAGUUAUACUGACGAAGAAGUCUUAGAGAUUUACUGUACUGCAUAGGGCUUAUAGAUGAUAAACUGCAUUUCAUACCUAAACAUUUGUUUAAAGGUGAAAGAAACUUUUG